rnacentral:rRNA from 1 species
UACGAAGGGUGCAAGCGUUACUCGGAAUUACUGGGCGUAAAGCGUGCGCAGGCGGUUUUGUAAGUCUGACGUGAAAUCCCCGGGCUCAACCUGGGAAUUGCGUUGGAGACUGCAAGGCUGGAGUCUGGCAGAGGGGGGUAGAAUUCCACGUGUAGCAGUGAAAUGCGUAGAGAUGUGGAGGAACACCGAUGGCGAAGGCAGCCCCCUGGGUCAAGACUGACGCUCCUGCACGAAAGCGUGGGGAGCAAACAGG